CAGAGCUAAGAUAUAAGUUCAAACGGGGAUUGUAUAAGAAACUGCUGACUUGGGUGUCCUCCUGCCAAGAAGAUUAUCAAUCUCCAGCACCUCCUUGUAUUUCCUUCUGCUUUCUAUGACAGUAUUACUUUUUUGAGAUUCCAGGGAUACAUGUGCAAGUUUGUUACCUGGGUAUACUGCGUGAUGCUGGGCUUAGGAUUCAAAUGAUUCCAUCACCCAG